UACGGAGGGUGCAAGCGUUAUCCGGAUUCACUGGGUUUAAAGGGUGCGUAGGAGGGCAGGUAAGUCAGUGGUGAAAGCCCAUCGCUCAACGGUGGAACGGCCAUUGAUACUGCAAGACUUGAAUUAUUAGGAAGUAACUAGAAUAUGUAGUGUAGCGGUGAAAUGCUUAGAGAUUACAUGGAAUACCAAUUGCGAAGGCAGGUUACUACUAGUGGAUUGACGCUGAUGGACGAAAGCGUGGGGAGCGAACAGG
rnacentral:rRNA from 1 species